AACAAGCGUCUGCAGGCCCAAGGUUACACCUCUGAAGGGCCAGGGCCCUGACCAGGGUCCAUCACUGAAGUCCAGGCUGUACUGGUUCUUCUUCUUCUGAUCAGGAUAGGUUCCAAGUUAGACGAACUUGGCUUUCAAUUCUGGCUCUCAUUCGGUCUGCUCUGAUCUUGUCUGUCUAAGCCAGCAGUUCUCAACCUUCCAGAUGCUGUGACCUUUCAAUUCGGUUUCUUAGGUUUUAGUGGCCCCCUCCAACCACAACAUUUUUUUUGUUGCUACUUCAUAACUGUAAUUUUGCUGCUGCUAUGAAUUGUGAUGUAAAUGUCUGAAAUGUAGGAUAUUGGAUAUGCAACCCCACAAGUUGAAAACCACUGAUCUAAACUGCCCCACCUGCAGCCUGCUCCAAUCCAGACUCUGGACCAAAGAAUCUCCAGCUAACGGUUUCUGUCAGUUGGGGGCCAUUUAAGAAUAGAUUCAGUCAACAACAACAAAAAGCCGGUUGGCGGUGGCCCAUGCCUUCAAUUCCGGCAGAGACAGGAGGAUCUUUGUGAGUUCGAGGCUCGCCUGGUCUACAGAGCAAGUUCCCAGGACAGCCCCGGCUACACAGAGAAAUCUCAUCAGUUUCUCCUCCGUUGAAAAUGAACCAGUUGAAGCCGAAUCGGAAGUAUAAAGGCAGGUUUACUGAGAGGCAGCUCUCGGCCCGACGCCAUCUUACUCACCUCUCCCCAGUGGACCCUGUGCCCAGUGUAUCUUGUGUUUGCGGACGGUGACGCAUGUUGCAAGCUGAAGCCAAGCCUGAAUGUUUUCUCAUCACACAGACAUCCCAGGUUUCCUGAAGGCUUCAUCUCUUCAUCUGUGAAUAGAGCAGGUGCUAGAAUACACUGGAGUUCAGAAGUAGGCAAACGGUGGGACCUAUCGGUGCUUCAGAAGUCAGGACUGUGUGUGCCCCUCCGGUUCUUGAGGAGGCUUCCGCAGGGUGACUCCGACCCCCUAGUUUGGAGCAUCCUUCUGGCUGCCUUUAUUACUCUCUACCCUGCAGUUGUCAAUACAUAACGGAAGCAACUUUAAAAGGGAAGCUUUACUUUGGCUCCCAGUUCCUCAGGGCUUAGAACACAAUGGUAGCAGGAUCCUGUGACAGAAGCAGUUCAUAUUCAGAUGGACACAGACAUGGGGGUGGGCACGGGCAGGCACAAGGUCCCUUCCCCAACAUUCUCCCAGUGACGGUGAUGUACUCUCUUAGGCCUCCACCUCUUACGUAUUCUAUAGUCUCCUGAAAUAGCGCCACCGUCUGGAGACUAGUGGUACAACACACAAGCACCCGCUCUAUCUCUAACCCUCCACCCCCACCCCCACUCCAGCUAUGACCACACUGUUGUUCCGAGCUAAGAUGAUGCAGGGGGUUACGACGUGCCAACACCAGUCCUGAGGAUUCAUAGGUUCCUACGUCAUCCGGCCUUAAUAGUCACUCCAUGAACGCAGUUGCUUUUGGUCCACAUUUUACAACCGGAGUCAUGUGGAAGAUCACAAGUACUGCUUAGGCUCCAGGAGCUUAGAGAGACUCUUUGGGCCCUGUUAACUUUAGUUUCCUAAUCUGAAAAGUGGGUGGGGAGGGGGUGCUAGCCUGACUCUACUGAACUGACUGCUGGUGUAUCCGUGAAGUGUUUGCGAGUGGAUCGAGCUGCUGCCGCUAACCUGUGGACCUGUGAUUUCCAGACAGGAGUUGCUCCAAAGAACCUUUCUAAACAGGUCCACUUCUCCCAUAUCCUUUCUUUUCCAAUACCUCUGGUGGAUCGUGGGCUAAAGGGAGGUUAAAGCAUUUAAGAACCAUCGUUAAAAAUAGGAUUAAAAAAAAGUAAAGUUACAGGGGAGCUUCGCAACAGGCAAGGGAAUGCUCAGAGAGGUCAGGGCAUAGUUCCUGCUUCGAGUAGGGUAGGGAGGGUUGGUUCUGCCCCCACGUUCAGUCAGAAGUGGGUGUGCGAUGAUUCUGUGAUGACUUUCUCCAGCCCCCUGUGGAGUCAUGGGGGGGGGAAACUGAGUCACAGCACAAGGAAACUCACAGGCACCACCCUGGGAGGGCCCUUGUUCUGCCGUCUGUCUGUCCAAGGAGCCCUGAGCCAUGACCCUGGACUGUGGUAGCCACCUUGACCUUGGCUGAGUUACAUCACCUCCACACAUGAGAAGGAAGAGAACUGGGCUAUGGGAACUGGGGCCAUUGAGCCAAAGCUUGGUCGACUUGGAUGGAGAAAGGCCCAUCUGCACAGCUGUCACUAAGGGCGUCUGUGUGUGUGUGUGUGUGUGUGCGUGUGUGUGUGACAUAUGCACUUGUUACUGUGGUAGUGUGGGAGGGGACUCUUACAUAAGGUGUCACUGGGGAUAUAAUAGUAUGUAUGACAAGCAACAUGGAAAUGCUCAAAACAUUACAAUCAGAACUACGUGACCCUACAAUCCCAUGUCUGGCUCAUCCAAAGGAAAUGACGUCGUUGUGCUCAGGGGCGGCUGUUCUCCCGUGUUUGUCACUGUGUUCUUCGCAAAGACCGAGAUACGGGGAAUGAUCCUGCCAAUGAAUGGGUGGAAUGUUAGAGUGUGCGGUGGAAUGCUGCUCCGCAGAAAUGGUCGCAGCCGGGGCUGGGGAUUUAGCUCAGUGGUAGAGCGCUUAUCUAGGAAGCGCAAGGCCCUGGGUUCGGUCCCCAGCUCCGAAAAAAAGAACCAAAAAAAAAAAAAAAAAAAAAAAAAGAAAUGGUCGCAGCCACAGAAAAGGUGUGCAGCAUGGAUGAGCCUGGGGGAUGUCGCGUGAAAUGAAAUAAGCCAGCCAAACUGCAGGGGCAUCACUUAUAUGUAGAAACCGAAAGCUCAAAUCAGAGACACAGGGUCACAUGGCCAGUGGCUGAAAGGCAGGGGUUGUGAGGUGGGCAUGGGGGUGGGCAGAGGCUGGGGAAAGGCCAGGGUCACAUGACCAGGGGCUGUGGGGGCAGAGGCUGGGGAAGGGUCACAGACUUCUGGCUCGGUUGGGCGAGUAAGCUCUGGAGACCUAGGGUACCCUAUGGGUAGACAGUGAUAGUGCUGACUGUGUAUUUGAAAUUUGCCAGAGCAGUCUUAAACAUUCUUACGAUUCUCCCUGCCCUGUCUCCUCCAUUUUCCAGACUUUCACUGUGGAAUGAGCCGGGAUGUUAUAAGGCUCCAGGGCCCCUUCUUGGGCUUAUGUGAGCAGUAAAUAACUGUUGGAGAGAGUGGCCGCCCCCGUGGAGUUGCCUGUGAGUUGGGCAGAGAGCUCCCAGGUUGCAGCUUUCGUGAUUCAUCCUCACACCAUAGCAGGGUCCUCAACGAAGCAUCUGUCCUGCGUACUUAUGUGCCUGUGUGUGCCUUCAGAUCCUGCUUAGAGACUCCAGUGCCCAGUGUCUGAUGCUAAUUCUCUAGGCACAGAUCCUGCCAGUAAGUUGUGAUGUUGUUGGCCACUGUUCCAAUUUGCGUCUGUUGCAACGAUAAAUCUGACUAAAAGCAGCCUGCGGAGGAAAGGAUUUCAUCUUCUACUUUCAGGGUGCAGUCCAUCACUGAGGGAAGUGGGAGAGAGAACUCAAGGCCCACGCUUGAAGCAGAAACCAUGGAUUACUGACUGACUCCCUCUGGCUCCUACUCAGACAGCUUUCUUAUACACCCCAGGACCAUCUACCUAGGGAUGGCACACCCACGAUGGGCAAUGAAGAAAAGGCCCCACAGACAUGCCUGCCCACAAGCUGAUCUGAUGAAAGCAGCAUUCCAGUUGAGACUCGUUCCUCUGCAUAACUGUGGGCUGUGGCAAGUUGACAGCUGACGCUAACCAAAGAGUUGUGUCUCUCUCCGAGGUCUUGAGCUCAAUUAGAAGAACUUAAUGGAUGCUCUAGUCUGUAUUUCUUAGGGUUUUUGUUGUUGUUUGGUUGUUUUUUUGUUUUUUGUUUUUUGUUGUUUUUUUGGUGGUAUUUCAGAGCAGUGGGUAUUUUGUCCCUAAAAGCUUUACUUUUUUAAAAAUGAGUAGUGGCAAGGAUUGAACCCAGGACCUUGUGUAUGCUAGGUUAGUGCUCUACUACUGAGCUCAGCUCCAGCUCACUAAAGCCUUCUUUGCAUGGGAAUUUUAGUCUCAGUGACACCAGGUAAUUUUCUCAACCAUUAUUUCAUACUUAUAUACUGUAGCCACUGUUGGGAUUCAGACCCAGGACAAACAGGGCAUCAAAAGAUACUUGGUUCCCUCCAGGUAUGGCUAUAAUCGCAGCACCUGGGAGUGAAAGGCCAGGACUUUACCAGGAUGCCCUGAACUCAUGAGCCAAAGUAAAUCCCUCUUCCCUUAAGUUGCUUCGGUCAGGGAUUCUGUCACAGCAAUGAGAACAGUAACCAAAACAAAAAUUGGCACCAAAAAACUGAUCAUGUGGUUCAUAGCCCCAAACCCCCAGGCUGACAUAUGGGAGACAUUUGUAGAGAGAGGAGCAGUGGGAUAGAGAAGCAAGUUGUAGAAGGAUGCAAAGAGAUCUUAUUCUGGAAGGAGGUGGGAGGACAGAUGUAGCCAGAAGUGUAAAGACGGCUCACAAGGUUUCAGAUGGACACAGGGACACUAUUAGGAACCGCACUGGUGGCCAUUACUGUUACAUUCUAGCAAAGAAUCUGGUUGUCUUGUCCUAAGUCCUGAGAUUUGAGUCGAAUGUAAUUAAAGUGUUUAAAGAUAGCAUAGGAUAGUGUUCAAUCCACGGCAUUGCAAUUGCUGGCUGCGUUUAGCCAGAUUUAUAGUGAGAGCUGAGGACAAUGGCAGAGGGAAAGGUGUGAAAAUGUGCAGUUUGGUGAGAAGAAAAGGGUGAACAAGGAGAAACUUGUGGACAAAGCAAGCCCUGAGUGGGGUAGAGAGAUAGGGACAGUCAGAGAGAGGCCAACUUUCUGCAUGGGGAAAUGGGAAAGAUGUCUCAAGGACAAGACCCUACCCACAGAAGGACCCAGCACGUAAAAUAUGCAAGCAAAUUCGAAAGACUAAGAAGAUAAUGCAGCAUUGGUACCCAGUAAAAAAGCUAGGCACAGGAGCUUGAGGAGAUGGCUCCAUCGGUAAACGCAUUUGCCUGCAGUCAUGAACAUGUGAGUCUGGUCCUUAGAACCUAUGUUUAAAGAAAAACAAAACAAAACAAGCAAAAACAACACACACAAAGUCCCACCCCUAACCAAGAAGCUAUAUGCAAUGGAUGCCUGCCUAGAGAGGGAAAUCAGUCUUCUUCAAUGGAGUGUCAUUGUGUAUCAACCACACUCCAGGCCAGGCUCCAUGCCCAGGAGCCAACACAAAACAGAUUCCAUGGGGUUUUGUUUUUUUUUUUAUUUAUUAUAUAUUAUGAUUACAUUGUCGCUAUCUUCAGACACACCAGAAGAGGGCAUCAGAUCUCAUUUCAGAUGGUUGUGAGCCACCAUGUGGUUGCUGGGAUUUGAACUCAGGACCUCGGGAAGAGCAGUCGGUGCUCUUAACCGCUGAGCCAUCUCUCCAGCCCCCCAUGGGGUGUUUUUAAUGUGCUUUUUGUUGUUGUUGUUGUUGUUGUUUUAGUUUGGUGUUUUUUUUGUCUUUGUUUUCUUGAAUUUGUUUUGUUUGAUUUUAUAUAUAUAUAUAUAUAUAUAUAUAUAUAUAUAUAUAUAUAUAUAUAUAUAUAGAGAGAGAGAGAGAGAGAGAGAGAGAGAGAGAGAGAAAGAGAGAAUAUGAAGUUGGUUGGAUAGGGAAGUGAGAGAAUCUGGGAGGACUUGGAAGAAGGAAAAGAAUAUGUUCAAAAUAUAUUGUAUGAAGGGCUGGAGAGAUGGCUCAGUGGUUAGAGCACUAACUGCUCUUCCCGAGGUCCUGAGUUCAAUUCCCAGCAACCACAUGGUGGCUCACAACCAUCUGAAAUGGCAACUGAUGCCCUCUUCUGGUGUGUCUGAAGACAGCUACAGUGUACUUAUAUACAUUAAAUAAAUAAUAAAUAAAUCUUUAAAAAAUAUAUAUAUAUUGUAUGAAAAAAUUAAUUAUUAUAAAAUGUAAUAAAGAGUCAGGCUUGGUGGUAUAUAUCUUAAAUUCCAGCACAACAGAGGCAGAGGCAGAGGCAGAGGCAGAGGCAGAGGCAGAGGCAGAGGCAGAGGCAGAGGCAGAGGCAGAGGCAGAGGCAGAGGCAGAGGCAGAGGCAGAGGCAGAGGCAGAGGCAGAGGCAGGCAGAGCUCUAUGAGUUGAGGCCAGCAUGGUCUACAGAGCUAAUUACAGGAGAGCCUGGGUUACACAGAGAAACCCUAUCUCAAAAGAACUAACCAACUUACUAAUAGAAUAAAGGCUGGGCAUAAUGGUAUGUGUUUUUAAUCUCAGUGCUGGGAAAACACAGAUAGGUAGGCUCAUGUGGUUUACUGUCGAGCCAGUCUAGCUUAACCAACAAAUCCCAGAUCAAAGAGAGACUCCUAAAAAUCAAAGUAAGGAUCUGGAUUAGCUUACUCCAUCCACAUCUGACUCUCUGGAGCCACAGUGCUGGGCCAGGUGUGGGGCUCCACAGAUUCUACAGGCAGGGCAAGGUGACAGCUGUCCUGCUCCAUGGAAGGUGCCACUGAACAUUGUGCAGGGGACUCAGGAGGAGCCUCUUGCUUACUGGCACUGAGGCACUGUACAGGUACUGAGUUAUCAGGUGCUAAUGUGGUUGUGUUGCCAACACUCCUUCAUGGCUGCAGAAGGGACAGCAUGAUAUGGUUCUUGCCCCUGGUGCAGAGCCAACAGGGCGUGGGCUUCCAUGAGUAUUGACGGUUGCUAUAGGCAUAAAGCUUGUUGUAUACUAACGUCUAUAUUUUGUUUUAUGUUCCUUCUUUUGGGGAAUGUCCUCUCUGCCAAGGUUAAUGACUCCUUGAUAAUCAAGAGAGCAUGAUUCCUGGAAGCAAGAAUGUGUCUCUGUCAUGCUGAGACAUUCAGAACAGCCCUUAAGGCUGUGGAAAAGAACUCUGAAAACAUGAGUUCAAGAAUACCUAAAUCAGGGGCUGGAGAGAUGGCUGAAGAGUGGUUAAGAGUACUGACUGUUCUUCCAAAGGUCCUGAGUUCAAUUCCCGGCAACCACAUGGUGGUUCACAACCAUCUGUAAAUGGGAUCCGAUGCCCUCUUCUGAUGUGUUUGAAGAGAGUGACAGUGUACUCACAUUAAAUAAAUAAAUACAGCUUUAAAAAAAAAAGAAUACAUAAACCAGUGUAAGAGCUGUCCUUUACAGGGUUUCUCAACUAUCCAAAAUACAAGGGUGCAAAAUGAAUUGUAUGAGGGGUUUCAUGGACCUGAAAGAACAGAGGUGGCUGCACUAGUGAGACAGUUUGUCAGAAAGAUAUUAAUGAAGGAGAUAAAGAGAUUUAGGGAAUGGUGAUCUUAGGGCAAGAUUGCAUACAACUAAGUUUAUUGUCUGUGCUUACAAAGGCAGGCUGACUUCCGAGUUCAAGAUCAGCCUGGAACAAAGCAAAUUUAGGUAUAGAUAUAGUGGGAAUGGUGAUCUCAGGGUGGGAUCCUACCCAGCUAAGCUUAUUGUUUGUGUUUACAAAGGCAGGUGAUCUCUAAGUUCACUUCCUAUGUUAAAAAAAUGUACUUGGGCUGGAGAGAUGGCUCAGCGGUUAAGAGCACCCGACUGCUCUUCCAGAGGUCAUGAGUUCAAUUCCCAGCAACCACAUGGUGGCUCACAACCAUCUGUAAAGAGAUCUGAUGCCCUCUUCUGGUGUAUCUGAAGACAGCUACAGUGUACUUAUAUAUAAUAAAUAAAUAAAAAAAAUGUACUUGCUGUCCUUUUCUAAGAAUC